rnacentral:rRNA from 1 species
GACAGUGACCAAACCACGUAGAAAGCAUUGGUUCUUGUCCAAUCACAAUAGUUAAGAUACGAUGGGCCCGGUAAGUACUUGCAUGGGUGACCGGCUGGGAAUACCGGGUGUUGCUGACA